GGUAAAAACUGAUACUCACCUCUUUCUUUUAAAAUUUUGAAGUCAUUCUUCCUUAAAGAAAACAAAGAGUUGCCCCUGUAUGAAAUUCGUCCUUAUCCCUGUAAAUCCGGCUGAGGACAACAAAGUGGACGGUCGGGAUCGACGAUUCUUCCUUCUUUCUUGAUGUGGCAUCAUCUCACGCCUAUGAGGAUGAAAACGCUUCUGCUGCCAGGACAAAUUCGCAGAGAUACAGUUGGUG
rnacentral:misc_RNA from 1 species